rnacentral:tRNA from 1 species
CGGCUACUACUGGACCGGCUACGCGGCGGUGGGGCUGGUGCUCCCGCUGGCCCCGGCGCUGUUCGUGGUGGCGCAGGCCGGCC